rnacentral:tRNA from 1 species
AUCAGAGUGGCGCAGUGAAAGUGCGGUGGGCCCAUAACCCACAUGUUUAGGAUCAAAACCUGGCUCUAAUA